UUGAGUCUAUUGUCCUGUUCACACUUAUACUGUAUAAAAUAUGCAUUCGAAAACAACUAAAUCAUAUCACUUGGAACAGCCCCGCACAUGAUGCGUCUGCUGUACACGUGGUGUGCUCUGGCCUGCGUGCUACUGUUGACAGGGGAUGCAACUGCCUGGUGGAGAAGACGUAGACGCACCCGGACCCGUACCUGGCAAAACUGUGAUCGCAACAAAUACGUCAAUGGCUGUUCCGUGCCCUACAAGUGGAUACCCUUCAAGAAUACAUUCAGAACUGCUUGUAACAGACACGAUGUUUGCUAUUCCUGUGCUGCUGCUUAUGGAAUAUCAAAAGCAUCAUGUGAUCGGAGGUUUCUGCUAAGUAUGAACAAGAUUUGUACGAAGAAAUUCUGGCUUCCAUAUUGCAGAACGGCGUCGUUAGCUUAUUAUUCGGCAGUAGCUAUAAAAGGAAGACGAUACUUCAGUAAAUCAGCUUUAUCUGGCUGUCGUGAUCCAUGGGUGAGACAGUGUCUGUAAAUGUGAUGUCACUUCACGCCAUGCAUUCAAUAAAAUGAUAUUGAUAUCAA